ensembl:lncRNA
GAUGAAAGGCUAGUUCUGAUAUACCCUGGGAUGAAAGGCUAGUUCUGGUAUACCCUGGGAUGAAAGGCUAGUUCUGGUUCACCUGUUGAUUGAUGAUAUACCCUGGGAUGAAAGGCUAGUUCUGGAUCACCUAUUGAUUGAUGAUAUACCCUGGGAUGAAAGGCUAGUUCUGGUUCACCUGUUGAUUGAUGAUAUACCCUGGGAUGAAAGGCUAGUUCUGGUAUACCCUGGGAUGAAAGGCUAGUUCUGGUUCACCUGUUGAUUGAUGAUAUACCCUGGGAUGAAAGGCUAGUUCUGGAUCACCUAUUGAUUGAUGAUAUACCCUGGGAUGAAAGGCUAGUUCUGGUAUACCCUGGGAUGAAAGGCUAGUUCUGGUUCACCUGUUGAUUGAUGAUAUACCCUGGGAUGAAAGGCUAGUUCUGGAUCACCUAUUGAUUGAUGAUAUACCCUGGGAUGAAAGGCUAGUUCUGGUUCACCUGUUGAUUGAUGAUAUACCCUGGGAUGAAAGGCUAGUUCUGGUUCACCUGUUGAUUGAUGAUAUACCCUGGGAUGAAAGGCUAGUUCUGGUUCACCUGUUGAUUGAUGAUAUACCCUGGGAUGAAAGGCUAGUUCUGGUUCACCUGUUGAUUGAUGAUAUACCCUGGGAUGAAAGGCUAGUUCUGGGAUGAAAGGCUAGUUCUGGUUCACCUGUUGAUUGAUGAUAUACCCUGGGAUGAAAGGCUAGUUCUGGUUCACCUGUUGAUUGAUGAUAUACCCUGGGAUGAAAGGCUAGUUCUGGUUCACCUGUUGAUUGAUGAUAUACCCUGGGAUGAAAGGCUAGUUCUGGUUCACCUGUUGAUUGAUGAUAUACCCUGGGAUGAAAGGCUAGUUCUGUUAUACCCUGGGAUGAAAGGCUAGUUCUGUUAUACCCUGGGAUGAAAGGCUAGUUCUGGAUCAGUCAGGAUACUCUUCAAAAAAGGUCCAAAGCAACAUGUUUAUUUUUUGGCAUUCUGGUACGACUCUUUUUACAGUGUCUUCACAUAACGUCAGAUUCCUCCAUCUUGUUUUACUGUGGUGGUGUUGUAGUUUUGUUCUGUGUCUCGGUCUGUUGCCACUUCCUGUAGCCGUUCAGGUCUGACUGAGGGUGUAUCCCAAAUAGCAACCUAUUCAUUAUGUAGGGGAUUACUGUUGACCAGAGACCUAUGGCCAAAACUAGUGCACUAUAUAUAGUGAAUAAGGUGCUAUUUGUGACGUGAGCCUGACUCCAGGUCAGUUCCCUGACAGGUCAGAGCCAGUGGGUCUGAGAGGCUGAGGUCCUGUACUCCUGAUCGUAGUAGAUCUGUCCUCCCAGCUGAGUGACUCGGGGCUGUUGUGCUGUAGAACAGAGGGAGGAGAAUGGUACACACCGAGAGAAGAAGAAGAGAGAGAGGCUACUUUCACCGGUACACACCGAGAGAAGAAGAAGAGAGAGAGGCUACUUUCACCAGUACACACCGAGAGAAGAAGAAGAGAGAGAGGCUACUUUCACCUACAGUUUCAAAUUAAAAAAAAUAAAAAUAAAAAAUGUUUCUUGUUCAUAUACAUUUUGUUUGUUUUUAAGAUGGCAUUAAGAAGAAAGGAAAACCUCUAAAUGUACAUUGUCUGUCUGUAAAUAUUUGCACCGGUGGUGCUCUCUGGUUCUAGUAUUGUGUAGGAGAGGAAGACUGUGAUAGCGGUGUACAUGUAUCAACCUGUAGAAAGCAGCAGGGAAUCACCAUUCAACACACAAAAUGACUUUCCACUCGUUGAAUCUGGAGCAUGAAUGUCUUCAUCCCCUGUCAUCUCUCUUCAUCCUAACACGUUCAAACUUUUAAUAAACAUGUGUUGGCUUUUGUAUCCAGAAGGAGGGUGUUGGUUUUCACUGGGAUCCUGAGGGAGGUGUAGGUCAGUCAACAUGUCUUCCUGAGGUGAGGGGACACUGUGUCUGUAGUCUGUCGAGGUGGGGGGGACACUGGGUCUGUAGUCUGUCUUACUGUGUUGAGGAGUGGGGAACACUGUGUCUGUGGUCUGUCUUACUGUGUUGAGGUGGGGGGGACACUGGGUCUGUAGUCUGUCUUACUGUGUUGAGGUGGGGGGGACACUGGGUCUGUAGUCUGUCUUACUGUGUUGAGGUGGGGGGGACACUGGGUCUGUAGUCUGUCUUACUGUGUUGAGGUGGGGGGGACACUGGGUCUGUAGUCUGUCUUACUGUGUUGAGGUGGGGGGGACACUGGGUCUGUAGUCUGUCUUACUGUGUUGAGGUGGGGGGGACACUGGGUCUGUAGUCUUAAGGAAACAGACUGACUGUACGACAGUGUCCUCUGUCCAGCUGCUCCAGACAGUCAGAGUAGCGCUGGGCUAGAGGAAGGGAGAACUAGAACAAGGAAAGGAAAGAUGGGUCACGCUAGAUUGAUUUCAAUUGAAGAUUUUGG